ACCCCAAACCGACACAGGUGGUCAGGUAGAGAAUACCAAGGCGCUUGAGAGAACUCGGGUGAAGGAACUAGGCAAAAUGGUGCCGUAACUUCGGGAGAAGGCACGCGGAUAUGUAGGUGAAGUCCCUUGCGGCUGGAGCUGAAAUCAGUCGAAGAUACCAGCUGGCUGCCACUGUUUAUUAAUAACACAGCACUGUGCAAACACGAAAGUGGACGUAUACGGUGUGACGCCUGCCCGGU
rnacentral:rRNA from 1 species